rnacentral:rRNA from 1 species
CCUACGGGGGGCUGCAGUGGGGAAUAUUGGACAAUGGGCGAAAGCCUGAUCCAGCCAUGCCGCGUGAGUGAUGAAGGCCCUAGGGUUGUAAAGCUCUUUCACCGGUGAAGAUAAUGACGGUAACCGGAGAAGAAGCCCCGGCUAACUUCGUGCCAGCAGCCGCGGUAAUACAAAGGGGGCUCGCGUUGUUCGGAAUUACUGGGCGUAAAGCGCACGUAGGCGGAUUGUUAAGUGAGGGGUGAAAUCCCAGGGCUCAACCCUGGAACUGCCUUUCAUACUGGCAAUCUCGAGUCCGAGAGAGGUGAGUGGAAUUCCGAGUGUAGAGGUGAAAGUCGUAGAUAUUCGGAGGAACACCAGUGGCGAAGGCGGCUCACUGGCUCGGUACUGACGCUGAGGUGCGAAAGCGUGGGGAGCAAACAGGAUUAGAUACCCCGGUAGUC